rnacentral:rRNA from 1 species
UUCAGCGGCGGACGGGUGGGUAAUGCCUAGGAAUCUGCCUGGUAGUGGGGGACAACGUUUCGAAAGGAACGCUAAUACCGCAUACGUCCUACGGGAGAAAGCAGGGGACCUUCGGGCCUUGCGCUAUCAGAUGAGCCUAGGUCGGAUUAGCUAGUUGGUGAGGUAACGGCUCACCAAGGCUACGAUCCGUAACUGGUCUGAGAGGAUGAUCAGUCACACUGGAACUGAGACACGGUCCAGACUCCUACGGGAGGCAGCAGUGGGGAAUAUUGGACAAUGGGCGAAAGCCUGAUCCAGCCAUGCCGCGUGUGUGAAGAAGGUCUUCGGAUUGUAAAGCACUUUAAGUUGGGAGGAAGGGCAUUAACCUAAUACGUUAGUGUUUUGACGUUACCGACAGAAUAAGCACCGGCUAACUUCGUGCCAGCAGCCGCGGUAAUACGAAGGGUGCAAGCGUUAAUCGGAAUUACUGGGCGUAAAGCGCGCGUAGGUGGUUUGUUAAGUUGAAUGUGAAAGCCCCGGGCUCAACCUGGGAACUGCAUCCAAAACUGGCAAGCUAGAGUAUGGCAGAGGGUGGUGGAAUUUCCUGUGUAGCGGUGAAAUGCGUAGAUAUAGGAAGGAACACCAGUGGCGAAGGCGACCACCUGGGCUAAUACUGACACUGAGGUGCGAAAGCGUGGGGAGCAAACAGGAUUAGAUACCCUGGUAGUCCACGCCGUAAACGAUGUCGACUAGCCGUUGGGAUCCUUGAGAUCUUAGUGGCGCAGCUAACGCAUUAAGUCGACCGCCUGGGGAGUACGGCCGCAAGGUUAAAACUCAAAUGAAUUGACGGGGGCCCGCACAAGCGGUGG